GAGCAUCGUACCCACCACGCGCGGCAUC
rnacentral:sRNA from 1 species